GAAUACACAGAUGAGAAUGCCCUGAUUCCUAAGAACUCAUCGGUAAUUGUGAGAAGAAUCCCUGCUGGAGGAGGUAAAGCUACCAGCAAAAGACAUGUUCUAAGUCGAACUGAGCCAGUGAGUGGAACAUCAAAAGCAGUUGAUGAGUCU